GGUUGCACACUGGGAUUUUUCCGAAGGAGCAAAAGAGCGCGUGACAUCUCUGAGCACCUUGCCUCUCUAGGACUCUGCAUUCCCUCUCCUUGACCCCUACAUUUGAGUCCCCAGAAAGCAAAAAGGCUGAAGGAAGGUCCUGCAGAGAUGGGAAUCCAGUUGGGACUCUGUAUAGUGAGCGGGGGGCUCUUCUGGUGGGAAGGGAAGCAAAAGUGGAGGGGGGAGAGAGAGGCCAAGCGCUCGUCCAGUGCUUCUGAGUCCUAGGAGUCCCUAGCCCCAUGUUCCCCUGCUGCUCCUUUGCAGGCAUAUGGCAAGGAGAGGGCAGAGCAAAGUGCCAGACCAGCCAGGCUGCCAGGAGGAUCUCCAGGAGCCGACAAGGGGAGCCAUUCAUCCCCCACCCCUAUUUCCUGGGAAAGCCUCUGAGUGGGAGGAGAGGGCGAGGUGUGCGUUGCUGUAAUGCUGUGUGAGAGACACCUCGAGAAACAGGGCGAAGAGAUGUUGCCCAGGGGACAAUCAGAUUUGUAAGCUGGAAACCUCUUGUGUCUCCUUCUCUGGAGUCCAAAGUCAAAAAUAACUGAAGCAAGGAGGACUGAAUGGCCUGGUGAAACUCAUCCAGGGCCUCUUUGUGCACUUGAAAAGAUCCAGGGAAUUUUUUGACCCCACUGGAGCUGUGUUAGAGGGCAGAGAGAAAAUGGAGGCUAAAAGACACAUGAAAGCUGAAAGGUGAUCCUGGAGCAGUUUCUGGCUGUCCUGCCCUUGUAGAUGGAGAGCUGGGUCCAGGAGUGUGGACCGGAGACCAGCUCCCAGGCGGUGGCCCUGGCUGAAGGAUUCCUCCUGAGCCAAGCAGAGGAGCAGAAGGAGCAGGAAGAGCUGCAGAUGAGAGACCUUCAUCUGGCAAACUCAAAAUGGAAUUUAAAAUAAUAAACAACAGUCUGUUUGAAUUCU